CCUACGGGUGGCUGCAGCUAGGAAUUUUGCGCAAUGGGGGGAACCCUGACGCAGCAACGCCGCGUGAGUGAUGAAGGCCUUCGGGUUGUAAAGCUCUUUUAGCAGGAACGAAAAAAAUGACGGUACUUGCAGAAAAAGCACCGGCCAACCCUGUGCCAGCAGCCGCGGUAAUACAGGGGGUGCAAGCGUUACUCGGAGUUACUGGGCGUAAAGAGCGCGUAGGCGGUUUAAUAAGUUUGAUGUGAAAUCCCUGGGCUUAACUCAGGAAGUGCAUU
rnacentral:rRNA from 1 species